rnacentral:lncRNA from 1 species
UUUUCCCGACUCGGAUCUCGCUCCCAGCUUAAAAGCCCCCCUUUUCUUCUAUCAUGUAUGCUGUUUUAAAUGUUUUAUCCCCCUUGGUGUCUGCUUAUAGUCGCCAACUGUGAGCCCAGUGAUAUUCCAUUCAAACCGCAAAAUGAGGCUUUUCGGUCGCGAUACUCGGCAAAACACCGCUAUCGUGGGUUUCAGCACUUUUCCAGGAAUUUCCGUUGUCAUUUGCAUUGGUGUCUAUCAUCUUUUUUCAGGUGCUUUGGUUACAGGCACGAAUUCGCGGUCGAAUUGGUGCAUGUGUAUGUUCCCGUCUAGGACUACAAGCCCUACAUCAGGACAACCCGCUUACCGCACCCCUCCCAACACUCGGAAUCUUCCAUACACCAUCACCUCCGAUAGAUCGCCAGGGACCUCACCACCUCCCAUGUCGAACAGAGAACUAUCAACGACGAAAACAAUGGAGUACAUGGGUUUGACCCCAGUUCCUCCCCAAAGAAACCUGAACCUGCCUCCCGGCAGCCAAUCCAAUAUUGACAUUGACUUAGAGGAGGCGUCAGAAAACUGCCGGCAAAACUGUCUUAAACAGUACGGCUACAUAUCCGCUCCGAAGCAAUACAACCUGGGGCGUUCGGAAAUCGUCCCGAUCACCGAUGGCAGGGCGGUUCUCGUUAAUGGGAUUGUGAGCGAGAUCUGCGACUGCGCACUCUCCACGGAAGUUAAAACGCUCUUGGCGAUCGUCCGUCUUGACGUCGAUGAAUUCGACAAACUGCGUCAGAAGCAAAGCAAGACUAAGCUGAAAUGUUUCAUCCGGUCCAAGGGUCUGCACUACCUCAGUUACUCGGAAGUCCGUGAGAAACUGAAGAAAAGUCUGAAGAAGAAUAGUGUGGCGCUGGAUGUUAGCACGGCGUCGAGAAGACACCGGGACUCGCCUUGUUAGGUCGACUUCAUAGCGUACAUAGAAAAUCGUAAAUUCUCAAUUUGUUCAGAUUUUAGCCGUUUAAAUAAAAAUGAGACACAUACAUUCUUUUUUCCGCCUUGAAAUGUACGUAAUAUACCCACUUGUUACAAGAAAAAUUCAAGCCUUCGUGUAUGGUGCGCCCCACCGGGAAAAUUGUUUUUCUGGCGCCAAAACGAUCAAAAUGGCUAAUUCGGCAACGCUUUACUCGCACGCAAUCAAGAUUCUCGGACAAAAUCACUAAUUUUUGGUUCCAAUAUUUCAAGAAGCAUGCCCUAUUGUAUCGUUAGAACAAGUUUCAAGUUGAUCGAAUCCUUGCGCCCUAUACGUAAAGUACCGGUUUUUGGCGCCAAAACGGUCAAAACAGCCAUCUCAUGAGCCACUGCGUUUCGAGCUCAUAGAGUACGUAGAAUCAUAGCGUGAACGGGAGCGCUGGCGCCAUGUUCUGGUCAACGAGUUCCGAGCCCGGUGUGCGCCGAGUUCGGGUCACUUUUUCGAUACAUUUUCGAUCCAAAAUGGCGUUGUAGAAUACGUAGUAAUUCCUGUCCUCUUUGUUUACAUCGGUUUGCCGGGUCCCCAUGGAUCGGAAACAAUCGAUAAUAUAUCGAAAAAGUGACCCGGCGUGACACAGGAGUCUCGGAAUUCGAGACCUGGAAAAUGCUUAAAAUUUGUGCC